rnacentral:rRNA from 1 species
CCUACGGGCGGCUGCAGUGGGGAAUAUUGGACAAUGGGGGGAACCCUGAUCCAGCCAUGCCGCGUGUGUGAAGAAGGCCCUCGGGUUGUAAAGCACUUUCAGUGAGGAAGAACGCCUGGUGGUUAAUACCCAUCAGGAAAGACAUCACUCACAGAAGAAGCACCGGCUAACUCCGUGCCAGCAGCCGCGGUAAUACGGAGGGUGCGAGCGUUAAUCGGAAUUACUGGGCGUAAAGCGCGCGUAGGUGGCUUGAUAAGCCGGUUGUGAAAGCCCCGGGCUCAACCUGGGAACGGCAUCCGGAACUGUCAAGCUAGAGUGCAGGAGAGGAAGGUAGAAUUCGCGGUGUAGCGGUGAAAUGCGUAGAGAUCGGGAGGAAUACCAGUGGCGAAGGCGGCCUUCUGGACUGACACUGACACUGAGGUGCGAAAGCGUGGGUAGCAAACAGGAUUAGAUACCCGUGUAGUC